CGUAUGAAAGGCUUUACAGCAUCCCUUUACUGAACCUUGCAAGGUUAUUCCGCUGACUGAACGUUAAACAUUACAGGAAAACCCGUACCAUCUGAUAGAUUGAAACCAGCCAAAAUCGAUCAACAAAUUCAAGAUUCACAUGAGAAACGCGCAGUAAUCAAACUUCACGACGAGAAAGUCCUACGUUUAAAGUCAAGUGGUGUAUCUCACUCGCCACAGUAUCGCGCACUAUUUCAAUUUUUACUUGAUUCUCUUCUACAGAAGAGAUAUUGGACCGACGGAGACAUCAGCUUGAACAUAUUGAUUAUGAAUCGCAUAAACGCAAUUUAGUUCGUUUAACGACACCCAAACGAAACACAACCGAUCGAAGCCAGAUUGGCCAAAUUGAUUUCUCAAAAAACCCAAGAAAAUCUCACGCGUCACGAACUUCAUUCUUUAUGACCGCAAAAUGUCGCGAUCGAAGUUAAUACACCACUACAGGAUUGCAAAAUUAACAAGUGUUACAAUCUGCUAAUAUAAUUUGGAUUUGCUCAAGUUGUUUUGGUCAAUAAGUAGCCUUAAGGAACACGUCAAAAGUGAGUCAACAAUUGCCGUGUAUUGACAGCACCAUAUUUCUAUCGAUAUACAAAUCACCUCGUCACCAAGUAAUCAAUCGAUUGGAAGUAACGUAAGCAAUCCCGUACCUUUGAGACCGCCUGCACAACAAAGUCGAA